rnacentral:rRNA from 1 species
GAUGAACGCUGGCGGCGUGCCUAAUACAUGCAAGUCGAGCGAACAGACGAGGAGCUUGCUCCUCUGACGUUAGCGGCGGACGGGUGAGUAACACGUGGAUAACCUACCUAUAAGACUGGGAUAACUUCGGGAAACCGGAGCUAAUACCGGAUAAUAUAUUGAACCGCAUGGUUCAAUAGUGAAAGACGGUUUUGCUGUCACUUAUAGAUGGAUCCGCGCCGCAUUAGCUAGUUGGUAAGGUAACGGCUUACCAAGGCAACGAUGCGUAGCCGACCUGAGAGGGUGAUCGGCCACACUGGAACUGAGACACGGUCCAGACUCCUACGGAGGCAGCAGUAGGGAAUCUUCCGCAAUGGGCGAAAGCUUGACGGAGCAACGCCGCGUGAGUGAUGAAGGUCUUCGGAUCGUAAAACUCUGUUAUUAGGGAAGAACAAAUGUGUAAGUAACUAUGCACGUCUUGACGGUACCUAAUCAGAAAGCCACGGCUAACUACGUG